rnacentral:rRNA from 1 species
ACAAAAGAUCCAACAUUCUAAUAAAUUUUUUUAAUUUAAAAAAUUAAAACUUUACAAAAAGUAAAAAUACUUUUAUUAAAAAGAAAGACGACAAGACCCUAUUGAACUUUACUUCAGUUUUACUGGGGUAGUAAGUUAAUUAUAAUUUUAAUUUAAAUUUUUCAAAAAAUAUCCUUUAUAAUAGAAUAAACCAGUUACCAUAGGGAUAACAGCGCAAUUAUUUUUUUAAGCUCUUAUAUAAAAAAUAGUUUACGACCUCGAUGUUGAAUUAAUAGCCUAAUUAAGGUAAUCCUUAAAAAAGGAAGUCUGUUCGACUUUUAAAAAAUUACAUGAUUUGAGUUCAGACCGGUGUAAACCAGGUCGGUUUCUAUCUUCUAAUCAGUUUUAUACAGUACGAAAGGACCUAUAAAUAUAAUAUUUAUUAAUUAAUUGGCAGAAAAAUGCAUUAGAAUUAGAAUCUAAUUAAACUAAU